rnacentral:rRNA from 1 species
CCUACGGGUGGCAGCAGUAGGGAAUUUUCGGCAAUGGGGGGAACCCUGAUCGAGCAACGCCGCGUGAACGAAGAAGUUAUUCGUAUUGUAAAGUUCUUUUAACAGGGAAGAAAGAGAAAUUUGACGGUACCUGAGGAAUAAGCUUCGGCGCACGACGUGCCAGCAGCCGCGUUAAUACGUAGGGAGCGAGCUUUAUGCGGAAUUAUUGGGCGUAAAGGGUGCGUAGAUGGCAUAGUAAGGCUUUUGUAAAAAUGCUGGGCUAAACCCAGUAGGGCAAAAGAUACUGCAAAGUUAGAGUAUGACAGAGGCAAGUAGAACUACAGGUGUAGCGGUGAAAUGCGUAGAUAUAUGGAAGAACACCAGUGGCGAAGGCGGCUUGCUGGGUCGAUACUGACAUUGAGGCACGAAAGCGUGGGGAGCAAACAGGAUUAGAUACCCUAGUAGUC